rnacentral:lncRNA from 1 species
GGCUAAAUCUACAAAAACAAAGACAUCUAGAGGCAAGAAAUCCUCACACAGUGGGAGCUCCCACGUCUCUGACAUUUCAAGUCUUGCACGGAAGAAGCGUGCCUAAAGCAGAGGCUGCCAGAACUCAGAUAGCCUUUGCUGAAAAACAGGCCUUGCUCCUAAAGCAGGAGGCAAUGAUAGAAGAACAGACUCUUUUCAAGCAAAAUGAAAUAAAGGCCGAGACAGAACAAGAAGCCAUCAGAGCAGAACAAGAAGCCAUCAGAGCAGAUCAAGAAGCCACAAGCAGAAAAGCCGAGGCGGAGCAAGAGGCCACACGCAGAAAAGCCGAGGCGGAGCAAGAGGCUAUACGUAGAAAUGCUGAGGCUGCACACCAGAGAGCUGAAAUGAAACGCGAGGCCAUACGCAGGAAAACUUUAAUGGAACAGG